ensembl:lncRNA
AUCUCUUUCUGGAGAUCCCUGCAUACCUGAGGUCUUCCAAAGCGUGAGCUAAUCAGGCAAUUUUAUGUAUGACAACGAACAACCCCAUCCUUGCAAUGAUUUUCUGCACUUUGGGUGCACUUGGCUUUGUUGUACCGUGCAGCACUUGAAGAGACAAUUAUCUCCGCUCUGUGAAGAAUGAGAUACAGAGAAGUGUUUGCCUUUGUUUAUUUUGUGAAGAAAUGGACUUUGAAGGAAUCCAGAAAGGCAGAGAUUUCAAAGACUUUGCAUAUUACUCUUGCAAUACACUCAUCACAAAUCUGGCUGGAGCCCUGUAGCUCCUGCAGUGGUUAUCUGGGAGGUGUGCUGCUGGACAUCUGCUUUGCAUCAGAAGGUCUAGAGCAGAACAAGCCCAGUGCAGACAGAGUCUGGCUGGAUGUAUUCACCCUGCACCCACCAUCCACUUCUUUCAGAUCUAUUAAAAGAAUACGUCACUGAAUAGAUAAAGAUAUAUAGACAAGUCAAAGGUGAUAGCAAUUGCUUUAGUAUAUAUGCCUAUAUAUAUAUAUAGGCAUAUAUAUAUAUAUAGCUUUUCUGCCCUUUUGAAAAAGGAUAUUAAAAAGACAAGGAAAAGAAGUCAAACUGCAGAGGACCUGAAAUCUUAUGGUGGACUGGUAGCAUCAGUUCCAGCUUUGAUAAAACACAGUGUAACAGUUCUCAGAGCAGCCAGUGAGGAUGGGAGGUGGAAACCCCUGCUGUUUGCAUCUGGGUUCACUUCAGAUUCACCAGUCCAGCUCUGCAAUCACCAGUGUAGAGUGUCCCAGUACAAGAAAUGGCAUCGUUCUCUGCCAAGUCCUGGCUCC